GUGAGAAGCUGCUACUGACCAGCAGAGGGAAGUGGCGGCAGCUGGUGUUGGGGCUGAGGGCUUCCAGGCCAGGCUGGGAAAGGGCUCUCAGUGUAGCAAGGGCAGGGAGAAGGCCCAGGCUGGAAGGUCCACUCCUCAUUCUCCCUGCCCCACCCUGCCAUGCCCAUCCUGAUGGUCACCAUGGCCUGUACCAGGCCUCCGGCGGAGAAGCUGGGCACCACGUACUUCACGUCAAAGUCGCGAGAGGCCGCGUAGGGGGUGCGCGGGCACUGCCAGUCCUCGCCCGCCGCGGGCUUGGCAGGCAACAGCAGCAGCAACAGGAAGGACUGAGGCAGCGGCGGGAGGAGCUCCAUCGAGGCGAGCUGGGACCCUAGAGGAUCCCUACCGGCCUGGGCCUGGACCUGGGCGUGGGCCUGGCUGGGGGCCCGACUCGAGGUCUGGACUGGGCCAAAUUUAAGCAGCGGUCCCGACAGCCCCAAGAUAGCGGACCCCCGCCCCAGGUUCCUGUGAAACCCAAAUCCCUUCCCGGCCCUCGGGUCUGAGCACCUGACGCCUGCGGACGCACGACAGCAACGCCCCAGCCGCCUCACCUGCCGCCCCAGCCGCCGCUGUACACUGGCGCUUAGCGCUCAGCCGACCCGAGGGCGCCGGGCUGGGCGGGCGGAGUCGGGCCGUGGGGGCGGGGCCGCGAGGAAGGCUUGGCCUAGCCCAGGCCCUCCGCCCAUCCGACUCUUCCGGCCCUUGGAGGCCUGGCUCCUGUACCUUCACCUGGCGUCUUGGCGCCUUUUUCUCAGCGGCCUGUGGGUGGAUGUGCAUGGUGUGGCCUGGAGAGAGGGGGAUUCUCACUCUCUCCAAAGGCAAAGCCCAUGUCAGAGGCAACUUUGGUCCUCGCCGCAGCCCCAUGAGGCCAGCAGUGUUGUUAUCUUCUGUUCAGGAUCAAGCCACUGUUCCCUUCUGCCACUGUCUGCCAUGGAUGAUGCUUCUCUGCAACUUACAGCCCACCAGUCUCCUCUCAUCGUACUGGAAAGAAGACCCAAACCACUCAUGGCAGCAGUGGUGGCUGAAGCUCCACGUGCAAACAGAUAGGGAAGCAGAGCCUGUAUCCUGACAGCUGGCCUGGUGGCCACUCCUGCACUGAGCCUGAAGGACCGCAGAGCACAUGGAGGGUUGGGCACCACUGCCAACAGCAUCACCCCACACAGAAUAAAACCAAAGAAAGAAGGGAAAGCCAUCAGCCAUGUUGUAAGGACAUGUAAGCAGCUCUAUGGAGAGAACUUCAUGGCAAGGGACUGAGACCUCCUGUGAACAGCCAGUACCAACUUGCUAGUCAUGAGUGAGUCAUCUCGGAAGCAGAUCAUCUAGGCCCAGUCAAACCUUCAGAUGACUUCAACGUAAUAAGAGACCCUGAGCUUGAGCCAUCCAGCUAAGCCACUCCCAAAUUCUUGACCCACAAGAACUGUAUGAGAUAAUAAAUAUUGUUGUUUUAA
rnacentral:lncRNA from 1 species